rnacentral:lncRNA from 1 species
AGGAAGCUGAUUACUUCCGGAUCUCUCUCUCCCCUGGGCCUGUAGAGAAAAGAAGUUGUCGUGGCGUGGCCUAGCUUAAGAAAUGAGCGGAGGCUUUUGAGGCAAGUGAUAAAAAAGUAGACACCAGUGAAGGUGCGCAGGACUUUUUUAACAAGUUUCCAUAUUUAAAAAAGACUCAUCGGGAGACCAUAAAGACCACCAAUAAAAAAUAAAAAAUAAAAAUCCCUUUUUUCUUUUCCCCUUAAUUAAAGCAUCCAAUCCCCAAACUGCCGAGAAAUCUCCAAUCAUGCCUGUAACCUUUUUUGGUUCGAACAAAGAAAAAAGAAGUAUAUUAUUUAGGAACUUAAUAGAACGAUCAUUUUUUUUAAAAUUUAUGGGGCAAUUAUAAUGUAUAAAAAAUUGUUUUCAAAUUAAAAAAAAAAACAGAAAUCUGGAAAAAAAAAGUAAUCUAAAAAAUUUGUUUCUAAACGUUUUUUCUUUCAGAAAUACACUUCAAUUUAAAAGCGCGCCUAUAUUUUAGCACUUUAAGCCGCUUACAAAUUGCAUAUGUGUGUGUGUGUGUGUAUUUGGAUGUUGAAUUAUUAAGAAAACAAUUGGGCCAAAUUACCUGCGGCGAACUUUGCGCACAACCUCGGAGCCUACUUCCGGCGUCGCCGCCGGCAGAGUUGUCCGCACCGCGUCUAGGCUGACGCCGCUGCGUGCCCAGGCCGAGCCGCCCCUCCGUGUCCAAGACGGAACGCUUCAGAUCUGUGGACGAGAAGAAGAGGAACGAGCUGUCAUCGCAAGUGACGAGCCGUUCACAGAUCUGAGCGCUCAGAUCGUCGAUAGCAAAGUCGGCGGCGGCUUGUUACUCACGCCGACGUCCGAGGGGCGGGCGUGAAGGUUGGAGCUCAGAUCUGCGGAGGAGAGGCCGUCCCUGGCUGAACACCGCUUUUGCGUCUCCAGAUCUGUGGACGACGGAGGGGUGGCGCGGCAGUCCGCCGUCGCUCAACAGCCAGAUCUGGAUUCUACUGCCGGGCGAAGUGGUGG